UUGAAUUGAAGAGUUUGAUCAUGGCUCAGAUUGAACGCUGGCGGCAGGCUUAACACAUGCAAGUCGAACGGUAGCAGGAGAAAGCUUGCUUUCUUGCUGACGAGUGGCGGACGGGUGAGUAAUGCUUGGGAAUCUGGCUUAUGGAGGGGGAUAACUACUGGAAACGGUAG
rnacentral:rRNA from 1 species